AGAGAACUGAUAUUGGCUUUAGAAGGAUCAGUUUAGAAGCAGUGUGGAACAUACAUGGAAAAGCUGCAAAACUGUAGGGUAGUUGCUGGAUGACUGCAGUGACUCAUGAACAUGAGAACAGAGCUUUGAAGAGUAAUGACAUUGAGUGACGUUCCAGUUUCUGAGCUCAGAGUGAGAAGUGGCAGCUUUCACUUCCUGCCUCCUGAGCCACCCCAUUAAGAACCCUGCCAGAGAGAAUCCUGCUAGAAUGCGAGAGACCACAGUGAAGAGCAGUAAGGCUCCAGACUGGUUAAGUGGAGAAGUGACGAGGAGAAACCAUUUUCUUUAGGAGAGUGCCUCGAUGAAUACUCUUGGAUUGGGUGAAUCCUUGUAAAGGAGCGUGCAAACAGGGAUGUUGCUGGAAGGAAUAUGAAGUCAUUGAGAACUUUUGUAAGUGUGGUAGCAGGUUUUCAUGCUUAUGGGAAUGAUCACAUAGAGGAUGAAAUUAAUGAAGCAGGAGUCCAUGGAGCUGCCAAGUAAUAGAUCAGUGUCCUUACAGCUAUGUUCUCUCCUCUUCAUCUUUCCAACAGACCCCUGAACAAUACAUAAUGAAAAUUUGAUCAUGUCAUUUCCCUUGCUUAAAUCUGUGUUAAUGACUCCCCACUAAUUUCAGGAUGCAUUUUGGACUUCUGGCACUGAUCUGUGUAUUAGAUAUACAGAGUUGAACAAAUAGUGUUAGCCCUUGCCCUAGUGGAAUUUAUAAUCAAGUUGGAAGAAAAGGCAAAAACCGACGAGCCAAAUAAGCUAAAGGAGUGCUGUGAGACAGAAAGGCUAAGCAGUAUUUGUAUGCAUUUGAAAACAAUGCAGAGGGAAGAAGGAGAGCAGAAGAGAAACUAAUGGAAGGACCAAAGUCCAUAAGGAGAGAGGGGCUGAGUACAGAGUACACAUGAAAUGAGUACUUUGGGUAACAGGAACAGAAUUCUGUUGCAGAAGGAGGGAGGAAGAAGAAACCCAUUUGCUACUGUUAGCCCCAACUUUCAUAAUCUACAUGAAUUGAACUUUUUUCCUUAUUCCUUUCUCUCUUUUUUUAAAAAGCUUAUUCAUUUAAUUUGAGAGAGAGGGAGAGUGAUAGAGAGAGCAAGGGAGGGGCAGGGAGAGAGAAAAUC